CGGUGGAGCAUGUGGCUUAAUUCGAGGCUACGCGAAGAACCUUACCUGGGCUUGACAUAUGCGAAGUAGGAGGCGGAAACGCACGUAUCCAGCUGACAGGUGUGACGAGCGAAACCCUUGUCUCCAGUUGCCAGCGGGAUGUCAAGUCCCAUGGCCCUUAUGCCCAGGCUGCAUACAUGGCGUAUACAAGGGAAGCGAGCACGCGAGUGUCAGCAUCCCAAAAAAUACGCCCCAGUUCGGAUCGGAGUGCAACUCGCCUCCGUGAAGUUGGAAUCGCUAGUAAUCGGGGUCAGCAACACCGCGGUGAAUGUGUUCCUGAGCCUUGUACACACCGCCGUCAAGCCACGAAAGAUCGGGGGGGGCCAAGUCGCCGUGCCACUCGCAAAGGGCAAGCGCCUAACCCAACGGUCCAGAUUGGGACUAAGUCGUACAAGGU
rnacentral:rRNA from 1 species